GGGCUCAUAGUCUAGUGGCUAUGACGUCUCCUUGACGUGGAGAAGGUCGCCAGUUCGAAUCUGGCUGGGCCCA
rnacentral:tRNA from 1 species